CGUUGCACAGGCCAGGUGACGGCACUGCGACGCUCCGGAGUGAAAGCGAAAGGAUAUACGCCGUGUAGGAUGCCUGAAGGAUAUAUGUAGGUGCCGUGAGCAGUCUUGAGUGCCGCACUGUGAAGCCUUGUGUAGUGAUCAUGCCGAGGGUGAUAUUGUGAGCGCAGGAAUAGUGCACAAAGAGAUGUAUUACAUUUCCUUCCCUCGCGCCGCUUGCUGCAUGUAAGCGAUGGAUUCAUACAUAUUUUCCCACCAGUAUUCGAAAAGGAAGAGCACACGGUUGAGAAACUAACUGAAAAAAUAGAAAAUAUUAAGUGAUACGCAAAAAAAAUAAAUAUAUAUAUACAUCCUAGAAAAAAUAUAUACCACAUCUCUGGAAGCCAAUAACGAGAAAAAAAAGAGCUAGUACAAAAAAUCCCUCUUUUUAAACAUCUCUUUUGUAGUUGAAAUCCUAACAACCAUGGGCAUGAGGGUAGUGUGGGCGUGUUGGGUGUCUUUAAUGGUGGCGGCGGCGGCGGCGGAGGGCAUCGUGAAGGAGUCAGCUGAGCGCCCAAGGAGGUCGGCGUCGGCUGACCCAGCACCGGUGACCAACGCGGACCUGGCGGCACUGGGCGGGCUAGGCGGCCUUAGUGGUCUGACAGGUGAGUUGCAGGAAGUGGAGUGACACGGAGAAGCGGAAGUGACCCGUAAGGGUAACUGUGCAUGGAACCUUGAUUAGUAAACUUUCCUGAUGUAGAGGAUAAUUACGAUGGCCAGUUUUAGAAUUUCCUGUCUAGUCUUUAAUGCCACAAGUAACACAAUUGACGAUGACGAGACGGCGACGCCCGGACGGCAAGAAGGAACACUUACGAAAAGGUCAUGAUGAUUUAUUAAAAGAGCCGCAGCGAUUCCCUUCCCCUCUCAAGGUUCUGUAGCUUCACAUUCACUCACACACCUGGGUAAUGUCAGCGCUGAUUAGAAAAUGCCUGCGUACCGCCACAAAGCACACAAAAAUAAAUAUUCUGUAACCGGUAAGUCUAAAGAAAAAUCGGUAACUGAUGAAAUAAAAAGCAAAUAUUCAAAUUGACCGUCGGUAGUCUAAAAGCAGAAGGAAAAUCGGUCAAAAGCAAAAGAAAAUCAGAAGUUGGUAUCCCUGAGACAAAAAAAAAAAAAAAACAAAAACAAGAAAAGCAGAAGGAAAAAAGAAAGAAAAAAACUACAGAUGAGAUGGACACUUAUGGCGGCAGGUUGCAGGUCACACGAGACAUAAAAAAAGAAAAAAAGGCUAGUAAUGGCGGCUUCUCGUUUCGCCAGAUGGUAAUGGUAGUGGUUAGAUGUAAGGCGGCAGGCGGGGUACAUUUCUGACCACGCUCACAAGA